GAGUUCCUGGCCCGGCUGGGCGCGGGGCUGGGGCUUCCCGGGCUCUACAGCUGGUGGGUCGAUUCGGCCGGCGCUGCC
rnacentral:tRNA from 1 species